CUCAGAACUUGUCGAAUGUAGUAAGGAUACAAGACUGUUACUAGUCUCAAUGUUUUUAGCAUUAUGAAAAAUAAGAAUACAAUUUAAGUGCCUGUGAAUUUUCAAAUUUUCCAGCAUAAAAUAAUAGCGGAUUUCAAUAUUGGAUAUUACCAUACAAACUCAAGUUGUCCUUCUUCUGUCGUGCUAAACAGGGCAUUUUCUUUCUCUUCUUUUUUUAAUAAUCUUAAUUUUUCUUUCUUUUAAGAUAUUUGUCAUAUCAAAAGUACUUAUUUUGUAUCAAGCUCGUCACAUUGUCAUACAAGUGUAAUUAACCAUUCUUCUAUCUUCAAAUUAUAUGUCUUCCUUCAAGCAUUGCUGAAAUCAAGAGGGAAAGUCUAAGUGAUUGAAAAGAUACUUAAGGAUAUGUAAAAAUCGGAUAGGUAUAUAAAUUUCAAUGUAUUGACAACAAAAUGAU
rnacentral:lncRNA from 1 species